UACGAAGGGGAGCUAGCGUUGCUCGGAAUCACUGGGCGUAAAGCGCACGUAGGCGGCUUGUUAAGUUAGGGGUGAAAUCCCAGGCUCAACCCUGGAACUGCCUUUAAUACUGGCAAUCUCGAGUCGAGAGAGGUGAGUGGAAUUCCGAGUGUAGAGGUGAAAUUCGUAGAUAUUCGCAAGAACACCAGUGGCGAAGGCGGCUCACUGGCCCGGAACUGACGCUGA
rnacentral:rRNA from 1 species